CCUUUACCCCCCUCCAUUUUCACAUCAACAAUAGAGAGGAGUGAUGUUAAAGGGUUCAUUUAGAAUCCUACUCUCACAAUGGGACAGUUCUAAAAAUAGUUUUGUUCUAUUUUAAAGACAUAAGAAAAGAGAUGGAAGAGGGAGAGGAUACAUAAGGAAAAAUGAACAAAAAAAGAGAGGAGAACUUGUUAAGGUGCAUUUUCAGAAUGUGCAAGUAGACCUAUAUGCAAAUAUGAAAGGGGUGAAGAGAGUGGGUACCACGUGAUUUGAUAUUCAUCCUAAUUGAUCAGAAGAGACCAGAACACAUACACAAACAGGGACAUACAACAGAAGGGUGAAGCUGAAAUAUAUUCAACUCAAUAGAGAUAUGUAGUCAGGAACAAGAAGAGGAUAAGGUGGAAUGUAAGAGGGAAGUAGGAAACAGCUGGAUUAUCAUCUCUGCUUUGGCAUUCAAUCUGUUGAGCUAUGUUGCUUUGAUUAAAGUUUAUGAAGAAAAUCUGGCCUCAUACAGAGAUGAAGUUGGGAAAGAGAAGAGGAUUUUAAAAGGCAGAGCUGUUUGAACAAUGGAGUCAGAUCUGACUAGAGCUGAAGGACCAUUUCUUCCUCCAUAGUCCAUGAAGAAGGCUACUCAUUACCAUGUAAUUAAACAGUCUAGAACAAAUUACAGACCGUCUGUGUAAGUUCCAAAAUCCAUCUGGGGAUUGCACCAGUUGAGCACUAAACACAUGCUCAUAAGGAUAGAGAGCAUUAGCUAGUUCUCCAUUUCAAUAACAUUGUAGACUUUUCUAAAGAAUUGAAGUCAAGUUUCCUGGUUUCUCCUUUGAAAAUGCCAUUCUUGUCUCCUUUCCCUCUUUUUGUUUUAAUUGGGACAACAUGUGUUCCUCUUCCAGUCUUUCAAAUGUCAAUGAGUUAGUAAUUCUAUGAAUCAGUUCUUUGAGUGCCUGGUGAUGCAGUUAUUUGGACCAGGAACUGGUGAAUUCUAUUGAUACACACACCUCAUUUUUUAUGUCUUUUAUUCUGGUUGCAUCUGAUCCUUAUGGGCUUCAUUAAACAGCUGGUGUCCAAAUAGGUUUCAUUCAUUGUAAAGAUGCUACUCUAAAUGCAUGAGGAGACAAGCUUCACAUAAUGUACUCUCUACAUAUUUUUAAAAAUGCUGGUUAAUAAGAGAAAAAAAAAAGAAAAUGCCUAGAGUUGGGAAAUGGAAUUUCUAGUUCAUAGAACAAUUCAUAGAAUUCCAGGAAGGUAAGUGUUAUUGAAUUGCAGAAUAUAGGGGUGGUUAAGGUGUAAGAAGACUGGAAAAAUCAGGCAGAAGUCAGGUCAUGAAGAACUUUGAGUGUCAGAAUAUUUUAUCCUGAAUCCUGAAGGUGAUAGGGAGCCCCUGGGGUUUACUGAAUAGAGAGGAGAGACAAGGUUGGACACAGACUGUAG
rnacentral:lncRNA from 1 species